GAGCAUGUCUGUGAUGCCCUUGGAUGUCCUGGGCU
rnacentral:rRNA from 1 species